GAUGAAGCACCAACAAGCCCCACAGCUUUGUUGCUUUUGCUAUGCCCACUGGGACCAGUGAGAGAAGUGCGGUCUUAUCCCUGGGAGGAGAGAAAGAGCCAGCAUCUGCAGGCGCCCACAGGAUGUCAAGGUCAUACAAGUUACUGAUGAGGUGACAAGAUGGAAGAUCACUUCUCACAAAGAUGAUACCUUCUCACAAGGACUAAAAGGUUUCCAGAUAGAUUUGAGCUCUUUCCAUAUUGUGCACCAAUGAUGUCACAUGGCCCUCUCAUCCCAACCCCUAGAGGACCCUCAGUGAAUCAAAGGCAUAUCAAGAUUACAGAGCACUAUAUGUAAAUGAAGGGAUAGGUGAAGACUAAAUACCCUCAGAUUUAAAAAGCCUGUAGAAUGAUUUAUAAUCCUUUGGGUAUAAAGACACAUGCACAUGUAUGUUUAUUGCAGAACUAUUGUCAAUAGCAAAACUUGGAACCAACCCAAAUGCCCAUCAAUGAUAGACCGGAUAAAGAAAAUGUGGCACAUAUACACCAUGGAAUACCAUGCAGCCAUAAAAAAGAAUGAGUUCAUGUCCUUUAUAGGGACAUGGAUGAAGCUGGAAACCAUCAUCCUCAGCAAACUAACACAGGAACAGAAAACCAAAUACUGCAUGAUCUCACUCGUAAGUGGGAGUUGGACAAUGAGAACACAUGGACACAGGGAGGGGAACAUCACACACUGGGGCCUGUCGGGAGUGGAGGGAAAGAGGAGGGAGAGCAUCAGGACAAAUACCUAAUGUACACAAGGCUUAAAACCCAGAUGACGGGUUGAUAGGUGCAGCAAACCAUCAUGGUACAUGUAUAUCUGUGUAACAAACCUGCAUGUUCUGCACAUGUAUCCCAGAACUUAAAGUAAAAGAAAAAAGAAAAGGAAAAAAAAA
ensembl:lncRNA novel transcript